AUUUUUUGCAGACGGACACGUUGCUGAACUAGUAAACAACGUCAGAGGAGCAUCUCGAUCGGCUGGCAACCAGUUGAGGGUGUAACCCCGCCUCCUCCCCGAUGACAGCUGGGAUAGGCUCCAGUCCUCCUGCGACCCUCGUGAGGAUAAGCGGCUCAGAAAGCGGAUGGAUUGAUGGUUGCGUCGCUUCCUGUGCAAACAGGAAGUUGAAUGCCAGCCAUGUUCCCAGUUGCAGCCAACUUGGUUUCACUUGAACUACAGUAAGAUCCCUUUGGCCGGAGUCAACCUCCUGUGGGCGUCCUCGUCCCUGCCGGGCGUCACCUGCACGCCCACCUCCACGGGCAGCAUGGGGGGGCCCCUCCCCACCUCCAGGGCGUGGCCCCGGGGGGAGAUGGGGAU